GUUCUUAGCCUGCCAGUUAAUGUUCUUCGUGAACUAGCGAACUGCUCAGUAACACGUGGAUAACCUACCCUUAGGACCGGAAUAACCCCGGGAAACUGGGGAUAAUACCGGAUAAGCCAUAGACGCUGGAAUGCCCUAUGGUUCAAAGCUCCGGCGCCUAAGGAUGGAUCUGCGGUCUAUCAGGUUGUAGUGGGUGUAACGUACCUACUAGCCGACGACGGAUACGGGUUGUGAGAGCAAGAGCCGGAGAUGGAUUCUGAGACACGAAUCCAGGCCCUACGGGGUGCAGCAGGCGCGAACACUUUACAAUGCGGGAAACCGCGAUGAGGGAACCCCGAGUGCCAGCAUCAAAUGUUGGCUGUCCAGAUGAUUAAAAAUCAUUUGUUAGCAAGGGCCGGGCAAGACCGGUGCCAGCCGCCGCGGUAACACCGGCGGCCCGAGUGGUAGCCGUUUUUAUUGGGUCUAAAGGGUCCGUAGCCGGCUUGAUAAGUCCUUUGGGAAAUCUGGCAGCUUAACUGUCAGGCUUCUAAGGGAUACUGCAGGCUUGGGACCGGAAGAGGUAAGGGGUACUCAGGGGUAGGAGUGAAAUCUUGUAAUCCUGGGGGACCAUCUGUGGCGAAGGCGCCUUACCAGAACGGGUCCUGACGGUGAGGGACGAAAGCUAGGGGAGCAAACCGGAUUAGAUACCCGGGCUAGUCCUAGCUGUAAACGAUGCUCGCUAGGUGUCAGACACGGUGCUGACCGUGUUUGGUGCCUGCAGGGAAGCCGUUUAAGCGAGCCACCUGGGAAGACGGUCGCAAGGCUGAAACUUAAAGGAAUUGGCGGGGGAGCACGUCAACGGGUGGAGCCUGCGGUUUAAUUGGAUUAACGCCGGAAAACUCACCGGGUGCGACAGCAAUAUGUAGGUAGGCUGAAGGUCUUUCCUUGAAUCGCUGAGAGGAGGUGCAAUGCCCGUCGUCAGUUCGUCUGUGAAAGCAUCUUGUUAAGGUCAGGCAACGAGCGAGACCCGCGCCCACAGUUGCCAGCAUGUUCUCUGGAACGAUGGGGUACACUGUGGGGACCGCCGCUCUAAGCCGGAGAAGGACCGGCUACGGUAGGUCAG
rnacentral:rRNA from 1 species